rnacentral:rRNA from 1 species
CUGGCUCAGAUUGAACGCUGGCGGCAUGCCUUACACAUGCAAGUCGAACGGCAGCACGGGAGCAAUCCUGGUGGCGAGUGGCGAACGGGUGAGUAAUGUAUCGGAACGUACCUUUCAGUGGGGGAUAACGUAGCGAAAGUUACGCUAAUACCGCAUAUUCUGUGAGCAGGAAAGCAGGGGAUCGCAAGACCUUGCGCUGAUUGAGCGGCCGAUAUCAGAUUAGCUAGUUGGUGAGGUAAAGGCUCACCAAGGCGACGAUCUGUAGCGGGUCUGAGAGGAUGAUCCGCCACACUGGAACUGAGACACGGUCCAGACUCCUACGGGAGGCAGCAGUGGGGAAUUUUGGACAAUGGGCGCAAGCCUGAUCCAGCCAUGCCGCGUGAGUGAAGAAGGCCUUCGGGUUGUAAAGCUCUUUCGGCCGGGAAGAAAUCGCAUGGGUUAAUACCCUGUGCGGAUGACGGUACCGGCAUAAGAAGCACCGGCUAACUACGUGCCAGCAGCCGCGGUAAUACGUAGGGUGCGAGCGUUAAUCGGAAUUACUGGGCGUAAA